AGAGCGAACGCUGGCGGCAGGCCUAACACAUGCAAGUCGAACGCCCAGCAAUGGGAGUGGCAGACGGGAUAGUAACACGUGGGAACGCGCCCUUCGGUUCGGAAUAACUCAGGGAAACUUGAGCUAAUACCGGAUACGCCCUUACGGGGAAAGAUUUAUUGCCGAAGGAACGGCCCGCGUCGGAUUAGCUAGUUGGUGAGGUAAUGGCUCACCAAGGCGACGAUCCGUAGCUGGUCUGAGAGGAUGACCAGCAUCACUGGGACUGAGACACGGCCCAGACUCCUACGGGAGGCAGCAGUGGGGAAUAUUGGACAAUGGGCGCAAGCCUGAUCCAGCCAUGCCGCGUGGAUGAUGAAGGCCCUAGGGUUGUAAAGUCUUUAACGGGAAGAUAAUGACGGUACCGUAGAAUAAGCCCGGCUAACUUCGUGCCAGCAGCCGC
rnacentral:rRNA from 1 species